rnacentral:lncRNA from 1 species
GUCGCGGUGUUCGGCCAUUAGGCCUCGUGACAUGAGCUCAGGAAAGGUCAAAUCCAGGGAGAAGGUAAAAUAGAAAAUGUCGCACAGUGCACAGACAUGCUCUGCUGUCUCCCAUGAUGAGCUCUAACAAGUGAGCCACUGUGCAAGUUGUGAAUGUGACGUUUGCGGUGUUCGUCCCCACAAACAAAAAGAACAGACGAUUAAUAUGUUGACAGCGAUUGACGAAAGCAGUGGUCAAGAUGGGAGUCCGAGGGAGAAGAAGGAGAAGAAGAAGGAGAAGAGAGGAGAGGAGGACGGCACCGUGAAUGUUAUAGUGGAGAGCGUGUCGUUCUUUUUGUAGGUCGUCUUGGCGUCUGGGACGGCGGCGUGAAGCAUGCAGACGAGUGACUGCCACUGGUUGAUGCUGAUGGAAUCGCCCACGAACAUAAUCUUCUUGCCUUUCCACCUCCUCAGGAGAUCCAAACCGUUGAACCUUCACAAGAGCAUGCAUUAAAUGCAAGCGGCUGCCCGGUAAUGAACGAAAGAGAGGAAGAAGAAGCUGUGGUGGUGGCGGUAACAGCAACCAACCUUGGGAGCUCACAAGCAUCAGGCUUCCACCGGUACUUGAGGUACGACUUGUCGGGCCGGCCAUAGCGCUGGCAGUCGAACUCCGGAUCGAGGAUGGGGCAGGUGGAGGAGUCGUAGAGCGGGUAGGACUGGUCGUAGACCCAGCUGCCUCGGAACAUGUUGCAGCUGAUGCCGCUCGCUCCCUCCCUUCUCCCCGGCGACGUGCCAUUGCCAAGAUGAUGCGUGUGACCGAAGCUCUCGGUCGCCGUGCCAUUCAAGGAGGCGAUCAGCACCGACAGCAGCGCACAGAGCAGCACGAAACUCCAUUGAGCUCUCGAUCCCAUGACAAAGGAAGGAAGAAGAAAGAAGAAGUGAUGGAGAAAGAGAGAGAGAGAGAGGCUUCAAGGAGAUCUAUCUAUGUAGCGUGAAGAAUAAAUAUAUAGUAAAUCCAUGAAGCGAGAAGUCUAAGGAGAGAAAGGGGAGGGACAGAGGGAGUGGACCGAGGCUGAGGCUUGAAAUGGUCGGCAGUGAAUGGCAUGCACUACCGGAUGUAUAAAGUGCAAGUAUAUGCUUUUGGUAGCCUUUUUUCUUUUCUAUUUUUUCCCCAAAAAGAAAACUAUUAUUGCUUAGAUUCCACAAUAACGAAUCAAUGAUAAAAGAUAAGGGAGUCAAUCAUUCUCCUCUCAAAAAUAAAAAUGUUUUAGUAUUUUUAGUAUUGUUGGCCAGCUAAUAAGUCAUAUAGUUAAGUUUCUUUAUAUUCAUGAUAGACAGAAUAUGUCUCAAAUGAUUCCAACAAAAAUCAAAUGUCAUGCAUAAUAUUGAGUAACGAACAAAGAGCAACACAUUUCUUGUCUAUCACACAAACCAUAAUCAUCAAGUCAGAUUCAAUUGGAGUUUUUCUUAUACCAUCAGAAACUACAACACAUAAGCUCUCUCACACUCCUACUACUGCUUUAAUUGAAAAAAGACCUCAUAUACUUUCAUGAACCUGCAUCCAAAUCACUUCUAAUAACAAAACCAAUACCUCAUUCAAAUGAGACUUUGAAGGCAUUCAAUUUCAACUUAACACAUUGCGCUUAAAGGUGUCGCCCCUCGCUUUGCUCGCUGUCCGCUCGUUCAUACAGUAAAAAAAGACUAGUUUUGGAUUGUUUUUGGGUUGUUUUCGCAUGAUGUAGUGAUUGUAGCGAGUGACGCGAAACGUCAGUCAUCUCAGCACCCUAGAACCCCCCGGGUGACACAGGGUUAUAUGGGAUUUUCGGAUAAUAGGGAAGGUGUUGCGUCUUGCUUCGCUCACUCCGUCGCUCGUCGCUCACUCGUGCAGUCAAAAAUGGCCAGUUUUGGGCUAUUUUUAGACCGUUUUCGCAUGCUGCGACGACCGCAGUGAGCGGUGUGAAAUGUCAGCCAUCUCAACACCUUGGAACCCCCCGGGUGGAACAGGGCUGAAUGAGACAUUCGGAUAACAGGGAAGGUGUCGUCCCUCGCUUCGCUCAUUGUCCGUCGCUCACCGCUCGCUCACACGGCCAAAAAUGACUAAGUUUGGACUGUUUUUGGGCCAUUUUUUUAUGUUGUGAUGACUGUAACGAGCGAUGCGAAACGUUAGUCAUCUCAGCACCUUGGAACCCCCUGGGUGGCAUGUGCUGCGUCAACCGUGCAUAGUGCAAGAAGGUAAUUUGGCCUCAUCAUUAGCUAUGAUUAUUCUAUGUAAAAUCUUAUUAGGAGAGGAGGCAUUCUGAAUAAAAAUUAUAUCAUUUCUUCCAAGCUAGAUCCACCAAAGGCCAGUAGCAAUUAAUGCCCAAUGGUUCUGACUCACCACCACUAUCAAACCAUUUACCAUUCACCCAGUUCACAAAAAAAUAAAAAUUUUACCUUAAUUUUGGAUUUGAAGAGAUGCCAUAGAGAAAUAAAGAAGAAACAUUGAGAAAAAGAUAGUAAUCAAUAGAUUCAACAACCAAACAAAAAAGAGUAGUAUUGAGGACCACAAAAUGUCAAUCAUAGAAUUGUUGCCUAUUAUAGAUUGCUGAGAACUGUUGUGACCAUAAUUUCUCACUUACUCUAUUAGCUCAAUAUCUAAUCCAUACACAGCAAAUGCAAGAAAGAUAUCACCUCAUUAAUAAAUUAAAAAUGGCUGUGACUGUUAUUUUAAUAAGAGACUUGGCACAGCAGCAAACUCCUACAGUAAUUUGCAGUUGGCAAGACAAAAUGAUGGAUAGAGCAAGUGGACUAUUCCAUACAUCUAUCUCUUCUCUUUGAUGUCCUGAUUAUUAAUAAUAGGCUCCACUCUCCAUGAUGAUUGAUGAUUGAAGCAGACCCUACACACAGUUGGCAUUAGGAUUCCUUGAAGCCUACUCUUGCAUCCAAAAAGAAGUUGCUCCCUAAUCACUUGCAAGCAGCAGAGUAACAGGUAUGUGUUUUUGGCCAAGUUGAGCUAUUAACUUGUUUAUGGAGAAGAGAUGAAGAUUGAGAAUAGAUAUAAACUUUAUCUUAAAUUUGUUGCAUCUAACAUAUCAUUUUUUUUCAAAAUUAAUAAAAUAUUUUAAAUUUUAAGAGAUUUUAUAAGUAUAUCGACCGUUUGUUCACUUCUCUUGACAAUAUUAACUUGCCCGAGUUUAGCAUUAUUGAUGCCUUCAGCGCACUCAACAGCAUUAACAUGAGUGUCAAAAGUUCUACUUUCUCCGUUUUGCCAUAUUUCUUCUAGUAAUCCUUUACACGGUCCUCAUUCCAUACAGCAGGCAACCCAUCAAUAAAUUAACAUGUGACAUGAUUUCAUCAUUUGGCUCAAUAAAAGAAUCUGCAAAGGAAAUCAUAGCAAUGCUAUCAACUCCAAAUACUAUAUCUGUAAGCAUCCAUUGUUUCAGAGCUUGAUGACAACUCCAGAAAUGCAAAACCACAGUUCAUUCUUGGUAUCUUCAACCAAGGACAAAUCUUUCAUAUUUUUAACUCCAUAGCUUUUUAGUUUUCCUAAAAUUUCCUUUGCCCAUGACCUACAGAUAUUACCCACAAAGUGUCACUGUCUUCACUUGGAGCAACACGUGCUUACCUCUCACCACAGGAUUCUUGAGCUCUAAAGCUAGCAUGAAAAAAAAGUAAAGCAAUUUUAUCAUUAUUAAUAUCAAUUCUCCAAACCACAUCAUAUAGUUUCUAAAUCAUUCUUAUCCUUUUUAUAAUUAGACUUCUUGAAUCAUAUAACAUAAUUGGGUGAUGAUUCAGACAAAAACUCUUUAGUGUUUGCUUGUAUUAUAUCAUCAUCUUAUGAAGCUAUAGUUUUCUUAUGACAACACUUUAAUCCUAGUGUCCCCACAUGAGUAGUUAUGAGAUCAAUUAUCUCCAUCAUAUAGACAAAUAUACAGCACAUCAGUCUGUUCGGCUAUCUCGAUGUCCCUCUCGAGUAACUUAUGACUAUGAUUAUUUAGAAUAUGUAUUUAAAGGUGAAUUGGUCUUAUUAUCGUGAUCUUAUCACGAUCCGAUUCCUAUUGCAUAGAUCCAUGGAGACCAUAAUAUAUUUAUGCAUCAAGUAAUAUAAAGUAAAAAAAUAUCAUAAUAAUACUAAGUAAAAAGAGUGUAUGUCAUAUCACACAUGUCAUCACUCACGUGAUUGGCUUGUAAAGCAUUUAUGACUAGCAACUCCCACAGAGGUUCCAUUCGAUGAUCAGUCGAUGUCUCCUCUGGCCUUACCUCCUCUUGCCUGAUGCAAUUGGGUCUUGAUGACCCUUUUUGUUUCUUAUUAGCUCUUGUUUUAUAGCCUCUCUUUCGGGAUGAUAUUUGCUUUUAUAACUUAUUUUGUCUAAUUUAAUGAAAACCUCUUUGGAAUGUACCGUUCGCCCUUCGAAUGAUUCUUGAGCGAGCUCGGGAAUGUUUGAAAUCCUUUUCCCUUGCUUUGCAUUACCACUUCGUGGGGCGGGAGAUCCUAAGCCUCGGGUAUCAUUGGAGCAUCCCCUGGGGAGUCAUCAAGUGUUUGGCUCCAACUCUCUCGCAAGCGGGGAAAGCUAUGUACCAGCUUAAAGGGGUCAAGGGGCGAAUUGCUAGGGGCAUAGCAGGAGUGCGGAGCCAUGGAUGCUCGACCCCCUGACGCCGAAGCCUAAGAGAUGCUUCUAACAAGGUAAGCAUGGGGCUCACCUCCGCCCCUUGGGAAAAGGAGGAGGGGCCCUCCUUGUCUUAUACGUUCAUAAAAAAGGAGGUAGAAGGAUGUGUCUAUAAUGUUUGACCUUCCUUCUAGCGUUAAAAUAAUGGUGUCAUAAGUACUAUCGAUUGACGAGUCAGCAUGGUUGGUCCAUUGCUGAAGGUGCAUGUUCACCCAGGUGCCUCUUCUUGGCUAACGCGAUUGACUUGGUGAGGUGAGACCACGUGGGUAGUCCGGUUGGAAGUCAUUUUGUUAGCAUGGACUCAGUUCGGGAUGACCAGGUAGGCGGUCUAGGAUCUUCUUGGUUGUAAGGUUCCUCCCCGAGGAUGGGUCAUCUGGGUAUCCUCGGGUGAAGGGUUAUCUCGUGGUUAUUUGGCUACGUCCUGACAGCGGAGUCACCUCCUAUCCAUCGACAAUCCUACAUGAUAGGUUAGCGUUGGGGGUUACUCAAUGCCACCCCUCCGAUACUUAAGUCAGUGAAGGGGAGAAGACAACAGUGUAAGCUGUAUAAAUAUAUGAGUGUGUAGAGAGUCCCCCCUCCGUGUGAAUUGGCGUAUUCCUUUUUAUACUUGAUCUAUAGGACUUCUUACUGACUGGUCUGAGAUAAAAUUAGGUAAAUCGUCUGAUCAUUCUCUGAUCUUGAUAAGGUAGGAUGGUCAUCGAGAUACCCUGUAGUACCAUUUUAGCGUCGGCCUCGAAUGAGCUGGCGUGGGAAAAUUCAUCCCUAUCAAAUGGUCAUUAGGAGACACUCUUAAAUAUUUUGAUGCUAUCGAGGAAAGGCUUGCUAUUGCUCCGAUAGUUUCAGGAAGUUUGCAAGUAAACGAGAGAGUGACUAUUGUUCAUCACACAAAGAUGUUCUUACGUGAAAAUUAGUUAUUAGAUCAGCUUUUGCAUUUAUGCUUUUUUUAUCAAUAAUGUGAGAAAUGUCUUCUUUCUGACCCACAGCAGAGCAUCAUCUUCAUAACUAAUAAUGUUUAGUUAGUCAAAUUCUUUGAGGCUCGAUUCGUAAUCUUGCCUAUAAUACAGAGAUGUCACUAGUAACUUAAGAACAUAAUAUACUUAAUCAAGUCCCUCGAGAGUAUAUCAUCGAAUCAGACUCAUCUUGUAACAAUGGUAUUGAGUUAACCGAACAUCAUGGUUGGUCGAGUCCCUCGAGACCAUGAUGGUUCAGAGGCCGAACAUGACAAAAAUCACAAAAAGUUAUGGUCGAUAAGAGUUACUAACCUUUUGAGUAUAGAAUAAUUGGUCAAGUCAUCAAGGUUAUACUAAGAUGCUGAUUGAAUCCCGAUCCUUACUAGGAGUCCACUUGAGACUAUAGCAAAAGCAACAGGAUACGAAAAAUUACUUAGUGCUUCAUUGGGAUAAGUUUGGAUAAUGAUGAUCCAAGCAAAAAGCUAUUGGAGCCAAUAGUGCAGAAACUUGUAUGCAAGUAUAGAGGAACAGGAUGGCCAAUAUGUUGACAUCGACAGAUCCUAUGCUGAGGUAUACUUCAAAUAAAUAAUCUGUUCAUGUAGGAGCUCAGUGUAAGCAUCUAAACAGAAACAAUGCAUGCAGUAUACAAGUGCUAGUGUUACCUUUAAACAUGCGUUUGUCAGGUUUUCCUAUCACUUUCCUGUUGAAUGCAUGUUAAUAACCAUGAGGUCUGCUUGUAAACAGAGAAAGUUGGAUCAGUAAAUGAAACCAUUCUUAAAUUGAGUUCCACUGAAACUUAUUAGCAUGACAAAGGACAAUGUUACAAUCUGCCUCUACUUGAGGCUUCUCUUUUGAUUUUGUAAUUUAAGCAGAGGAUCGUUUCUCAGUAAUGAAGGCACCAUUCGAAUCAGGAAUACCAUAAACAUCAUGUGAUCAAUCACCAAUUCACCAAUCGAUGAUAGAUCAGAUAAUUCUUGCUAACUGGUUACCAGUUGCAUGCUUUGGCAGUCUUUGCAAAAAUCUUGUUGCAGGUAUCGGUUCCGUCAAAGAAGUGCUGCAUACAGGAUCUGAUUCCAAGUAUCGGGAACGCCAGCGAGACACCAGUGGCUGCAGUCCAUACCAGGAUGAUCUCCACUGUACGCAGACGGGUGCGCAUCUAUUCUUAGCUGAGAAAGCAAGGUUAUAUCGAGCAGGUAGACUGGUUUGGACAUGGCGCCGAGGACGCUCGUCACUACUCCUUGAGCUGGAACCGGACCACCUGGGUAAGUCGAUCCGUUUACUGGUUGCGUUUGUCUGUAACAGUUCUUUGCGUUCUUAUCCCCCCAUUCUGCUCCCCUGUUGCCAAAACGAAGGAAGAAGUCAGUGAGAUCAGCUUCAUGAAACAGAAGCCACAGGAUUCACAGUGCUAUCUGUAUAACGCAACUUGUAAUGGGUGGGGGAGAUCCCUUGGAAGAAGACUUUGGUUGCGGCAGGAUUGAUGUUGGCAUCCACCCAUUUGGCCCACGUAGUCAGCCCCUUGUUGAAGGCCACCAACCGAUCCAUGUCCUUCAGAACUUGGUCUCCAUCUCGCACAUAGUCCCAUCUGCGCCACAAAGUUGCUUCUUGUCAUACAGGGUGAGAGGAGAGGGGAGGCAAGAAGAGCUUUGGGGGAUCUGUGAGCAGGGCAGGUCUCACACGGUUGCUUUUUCCCGUUGUGUGACCACCAGUGCCAUGUGUUGAAGACCAGCAUGUCGAUGCCCAGCCAGGCCGCACCGGACUGGAUGGAGUCGAGCCUCAGCACGCGGCCGAUGGGUUCCUCCACGAUGUCCACCAGGUAGGUGCUCUGGUACCGGAUCACCGACACGCCAUAGUCCUGCAAUACUGCAUCUGGUUAGCUGUCCUUGCAUUCAUGUGCCCUGUUGUCUAAAAUCCAAGACAAACGACGACUGUGCUCGAAGUAGCAGGUCAGCUGUACGCUUCAGAUAAGUUCGCCAUGAAGAUCUCUGUCGGGUUUCUCCUCUCUCCUUCAUUCUUCUCGGGUACAUGACGGAAGAUACUAGUUUGAUGUGCAGUGCUGCUGUUGGAUCUGGAAUCCCUGCUGCUCACACAUGGUAAAACCUUUGUUGUACAUGAGUUUUGGCACCCGAUAAUCUUUGUGCCAGAUUGCAGAACGAGGGAAAAGAAGAAAUCAGAGGAAUUUGGAUGUGUACUUUAUCCUUGCCAUUGGGUUGACUUCACUUACAGGACAGACACGGAGGAUAACAUGAGAAAAGUUGGAUCAAGAAACAGGUUGAGUGAUGGGAGAAUAAGCUAUCAAAUUUCCCAAUCAUCUGUUGGCAGUGAUAAAGUUUACGUAGGUUGAAAUAUGCACUAACUACGAUGCAUAGAUGUUACACUCCAUGCUGAGGCCUGACGCAGAAUACGGUGAGUGAAAACACUCGUUCCAGCCUAUCAACUCGAUGCAAUAGUUGCAGGAUCUCGAGGAGGUCUCUCAGUAUUAAAACCCAAAGGGCUUAUCGUCGCGGUGUUCGGCCAUUAGGCCUCGUUACAAUGAGCUCCGGAGAGAUCAAAUCCAGGGAGAAAAUGUUGUGCAAGUUGUGAAUGUGACGUUUGAGUUGUUCGUCCCCACAAACAAAAAGAACAGACGAUUAGUAUGUUAACAGCGAUUGACGAAAGCAGUGGUCAUGAUGGGAGUCCGAGGGAGAAGAAGAAGAAGAAGAAGAAGGAGAAGAGAGGAGAGGAGGACGGCACCGUGAAUGUUAUAGUGGAGAGCGUGUCGUUCUUUUUGUAGGUCGUCUUGGCGUCGGGGACGGCGGCGUGAAGCAUGCAGACGAGUGACUGCCACUGGUUGACGCUGAUGGAAUC